GCUUUCAACAUCCCCGUUCGCCGCGCAUGGCGCAGCCAGGCCGGUAGAACUGAAGGC
rnacentral:sRNA from 12 species